rnacentral:rRNA from 1 species
GACGUAGGGUGCAAGCGUUGUCCGGAUUUACUGGGCGUAAAGCGCGCGUAGGCGGUCUGUUAAGUGCAUAAGUGAAAGCUCCGGGCUCAACUCGGAAAUUGCUUUGCAUACUGGCAGGCUGGAGGGACGCAGAGGUCUGUGGAAUUCCUGGUGUAACGGUGAAAUGUGUUGAUAUCAGGAGGAACACCCAUGGCGAAGGCAGCAGACUGGGCGUUUCCUGACGCUGAGGCGCGAAAGCGUGGGGAGCGAACAGG